ACGAACAUCACUUUUUUUCCUCCUCUUCUUUAGGUGUAGAUUUAUUUUGUUUUAUUUUUAUUUUUGGCAAAUGGGAUCGGUUUUAGCUGGGGAUCAGUAUCUGAAAGCCCCAACCCCCAUGCUGAUGGUAUAGUUAGGACCUUUGCAUUUGAUGGAAAAAAACGUAGUAUUUUCUGUCAUCCACGUGUGUUGUGAGUAGCAAGCUCUUCAACGUAAAUGCAGAGGAAGGGAGAAAUCCUCUUCUCAGAUGGGGAAACUCAGGCAGAGACUGCUAUGGGGUGGUUUUUGCCAAGCUAUGCAAAAUACUUAACGCAGGGCUACACGGAAGCUCCAGAAAUCAUUUUGUUUGCUUUGGCACUGUUUCACCGUCUGGGCAAUCAUUUAUUCUCCUUGGGCAUUUAUCAACCAGGGAGAAGAAGCCAUGUAGC